GCUUCUUCUUGUUCUUCUUGUUCUUCUUUUACUUGUUUUUCAGCUUCAUGUUUUGUGUGUUCAUCAAUGACACCACGGAUGCGUUGUGUCAAGGAUGCGUUGGUGGUGGUAGUGCUGCAGAAAACAGCAAGGAAAAGUAGAAGAGU
rnacentral:ribozyme from 12 species